UACAGCCGGUAUGAGAAAAUAAAGCGUUUUUUUUCAACAUUAAAGCAUGUAAACAUUUUCUAGUAGAAACCCAAAAUACAAGUAUGCGCCUGAAAAUGAACAUUAUAGGUCCUCUUUAAAUAACCAUGAGGUUAAUUUUCUUUCUGAAGUGCAGACAUGUUUUUAUACAGCUGAAAUAAAAGAGUCUCGACAGCAGAAACCCUGAAAUGUAUUUCUUUUAAUUUAAUUCAAAAUAAAUACUACCACGGCAACGCAAGUCCACUACUGGGUUCUUGCCCUAAUGUUUUGGUAAGAAAACAAACAAGCAAACGAUCCAAAAAAAAAAAAAAAAGAACAAAAAGAGACUUCAGUUAAUGCAUCCAUCAUCAUCAUCAUCAUCAUCAUCAUCAUCAUCAUCAUCCUUCAGCGACUUUCAAGAGGUGCCUUUUUUAACGACAUACAAGAGGCUGAAGGGAAACGGAAACGACAGUGCAGACUCCACAGUUACAGUCAUGUCCUCACAGAAAGUCAGGAGUCGAUCAUUUUCGGGGACCACGGCGACCUCAAGGAAGGCGGGGGAGGGAUGGGGUUUGUCUCCAUGGAAACAUCCUCCGUGGACGAUAACAAGUCGAGUCGGUGCAUCAACCCGAAAAAAAAAAAUCAAUGGAAGAGUCCAGUCUUUGACACUGUCUAUUUUUUUCAUUCUUUUUAAAAUUUUCUUCUUAAAUGCAGUUUUUGAGUC